GAUGAAGAACGUAGCGAAAUGCGAUAAGUAGUGUGAAUUGCAGAAUUCAGUGAAUCAUCGAAUCUUUGAGCGCACAUUGCGCCCUUUGGUAUUCCUUAGGGCAUGCCUGUUCGAGCGUCAUUUAAACCUUCAAGCUAAGCUUGGUGUUGGGUGACUGUCCGCUUCACGGCGGACUCGCCUCAAAAUUAUUGGCGGCCGGUACAUUGGCUUCGAGCGCAGCAGAAACGCGAACUCGGGCCCGUCGUAUUGGCUCCCAGAAGCUAUCUUCACAAUUUUGACCUCGGAUCAGGUAGGGGUACCCGCUGAACUUAAGCAUAUCAAUAAGCGGAGGA
rnacentral:misc_RNA from 1 species